UACGGAGGGAGCUAGCGUUGUUCGGAAUUACUGGGCGUAAAGCGCGCGUAGGCGGCUUUGUAAGUUAGAGGUGAAAGCCCGGGCUCAACCCCGGAAUUGCCUUUAAGACUGCAUCGCUUGAAUCCGGGAGAGGUGAGUGGAAUUCCGAGUGUAGAGGUGAAAUUCGUAGAUAUUCGGAAGAACACCAGUGGCGAAGGCGGCUCACUGGACCGGCAUUGACGCUGAGGUGCGAAAGCGUGGGGAGCAAACAGG
rnacentral:rRNA from 1 species